UGGCUCAGAUUGAACGCUGGCGGCAGGCCUAACACAUGCAAGUCGAACGGUAACAGGAAGCAGCUUGCUGCUUUGCUGACGAGUGGCGGACGGGUGAGUAAUGUCUGGGAAACUGCCUGAUGGAGGGGGAUAACUACUGGAAACGGUGGCUAAUACCGCAUAACGUCGCAAGACCAAAGAGGGGGACCUUCGGGCCUCUUGCCAUCAGAUGUGCCCAGAUGGGAUUAGCUUGUUGGUGAGGUAACGGCUCACCAAGGCGACGAUCCCUAGCUGGUCUGAGAGGAUGACCAGCCACACUGGAACUGAGACACGGUCCAGACUCCUACGGGAGGCAGCAGUGGGGAAUAUUGCACAAUGGGCGCAAGCCUGAUGCAGCCAUGCCGCGUGUAUGAAGAAGGCCUUCGGGUUGUAAAGUACUUUCAGCGGGGAGGAAGGUGUUGCGGUUAAUAACCGCAGCAAUUGACGUUACCCGCAGAAGAAGCACCGGCUAACUCCGUGCCAGCAGCCGCGGUAAUACGGAGGGUGCAAGCGUUAAUCGGAAUUACUGGGCGUAAAGCGCACGCAGGCGGUCUGUCAAGUCGGAUGUGAAAUCCCCGGGCUCAACCUGGGAACUGCAUUCGAAACUGGCAGGCUUGAGUCUUGUAGAGGGGGGUAGAAUUCCAGGUGUAGCGGUGAAAUGCGUAGAGAUCUGGAGGAAUACCGGUGGCGAAGGCGGCCCCCUGGACAAAGACUGACGCUCAGGUGCGAAAGCGUGGGGAGCAAACAGGAUUAGAUACCCUGAUAGUCCACGCCGUAAACGAUGUCUACUUGGAGGUUGUGCCCUUGAGGCGUGGCUUCCGGAGCUAACGCGUUAAGUAGGCCGCCUGGGGAGUACGGCCGCAAGGUUAAAACUCAAAUGAAUUGACGGGGGCCCGCACAAGCGGUGGAGCAUGUGGUUUAAUUCGAUGCAACGCGAAGAACCUUACCUGGUCUUGACAUCCACAGAAGAAUCCAGAGAUGGAUUUGUGCCUUCGGGAACUGUGAGACAGGUGCUGCAUGGCUGUCGUCAGCUCGUGUUGUGAAAUGUUGGGUUAAGUCCCGCAACGAGCGCAACCCUUAUCCUUUGUUGCCAGCGAUUAGGUCGGGAACUCAAAGGAGACUGCCAGUGAUAAACUGGAGGAAGGUGGGGAUGACGUCAAGUCAUCAUGGCCCUUACGACCAGGGCUACACACGUGCUACAAUGGCGCAUACAAAGAGAAGCGACCUCGCGAGAGCAAGCGGACCUCAUAAAGUGCGUCGUAGUCCGGAUUGGAGUCUGCAACUCGACUCCAUGAAGUCGGAAUCGCUAGUAAUCGUGGAUCAGAAUGCCACGGUGAAUACGUUCCCGGGCCUUGUACACACCGCCCGUCACACCAUGGGAGUGGGUUGCAAAAGAAGUAGGUAGCUUAACCUUCGGGAGGGCGCUUACCACUUUGUGAUUCAUGACUGGGGUGAAGUCGUAACAAGG
rnacentral:rRNA from 1 species